rnacentral:rRNA from 1 species
GGGUCGUAAACUUCUUUUAUAUGGGAAUAAAGUUUUCCACGUGUGGAAUUUUGUAUGUACCAUAUGAAUAAGGAUCGGCUAACUCCGUGCCAGCAGCCGCGGUAAUACGGAGGAUCCGAGCGUUAUCCGGAUUUAUUGGGUUUAAAGGGAGCGUAGGUGGAUUGUUAAGUCAGUUGUGAAAGUUUGCGGCUCAACCGUAAAAUUGCAGUUGAAACUGGCAGUCUUGAGUACAGUAGAGGUGGGCGGAAUUCGUGGUGUAGCGGUGAAAUGCUUAGAUAUCACGAAGAACUCCGAUUGCGAAGGCAGCUCACUAGACUGUUACUGACACUGAUGCUCGAAAGUGUGGGUAUCAAACAGGAUUAGAUACCCUGGUAGUCCACACAGUAAA